UUCCCAUGAAGGAAUCGGCGUCAUGAUAUUCGCAAGCAGCAGUUUAUGGCAUCCGUACAAGUCAAUACUUAGGUAGUUAGGAAAAUUCGUUCCAUUGUAUUUAAUAAGUAUUUCAGAGAGUAGUGCAAAACUUUCCAAUGACGUGCAUUCACGAGCUUCAACUUUUGAUAUACUCAAUGGAAGAGGUAAAAUUUCUUCAAGUUUCUUGCAAUUGUUCAAAUAAAGGUUGUCACCUUGGUAAUUUCAUUGAAAAUUACCAAUUCGCCCUUGAGGAGGAACCAUCACU